GUACAACCUAGUGUAUUUUUCACAUGAAUGCAAAAGAAGCCUGCCCCUUUUACAGGACCAGAAGACUGUUUUCAAAGGCUGUAGAAUGAUGAUGAUUAAAUGGAGUUUUAAAGGAAAAGGUGCAGUUCGUGCUCAGAUAUACAACUGGAACCUCACUGUUCUGGAUGCCUAUGAACUUAUCUGCUACAAUCCAGACCCUCUUCCCAUCUGAAAUGAAUUUCACAAAGUAGAAUUGCUGCUAUACGUCGUUAACUCCACCUCCCCAGCUCUCCACCGCCAUCCCUCUAACAGAUGUAUCAGGUGAGCGGGGCUCAACUCGAAUUAAAUGUGCGACCUGGAGCAACUCAGUACCUCAGUUUCUUCGCCUGUAAAGUGAGGAACCCCACUCAAUUCUAUAAAGUCCAUUUCUGCUCUGAAUUAUGAAAUAGGACAAGAAAUCAGAAAGGAAACUCAAAAGAAACAAAAGUGAAAGUGCCCAAAGGAAAUACAGCAGUAAACAAAAGCACAAAAUCCUAUACCUCACUGAAAAGUGUGGCGGAGUUCCCAAAUACUUUUUUUCUCAGCAACUGUGAACGCGAGCCUUGGGAGAGAAUGAAAUGUUCAUCUAUCACGCCUCUGAAUGUGAAUGAGAUGAAAGUAACACGAAUCCACCUUGCUCCGUGCGACUGUCUUCUUAAACAAUGCUCCCUGACCUCGAACAACCACAUACUAAAAAUUUCCUCCUAAAUAAGUCAAUCCGCGAUGAAUGAUCCCUCCCUACAUUACAAACCCCAGGGAACACCACACAAGGGUGUAUCCCACGUUGGAAAGAGAGAGAAAAGGGGAUAGAGAAAGAAAGGAAGGAUUCCAACCAAUAUUAGAUUCUACAUAGUAUUGCCACGCGGUUGUCACGCACAACAGCAUCCAAGCAAACUAUUUUAAAACUUGUGAAAUACGAUAGCCUUUAAACUUUAUCAUUCCCUCCUUCAUGGUAUUAAUGAGACUUAUCUGCACCCCUAACGGUACACCGCCCAGGAGCAAGAGCGUGAGCUCUGGGGUGGACCGGCAAGUGGAGCCACAAAAAAAGCACGAAGCUGACAGAUUCGCAGAGAGUCGGCGGCGGCUGUGGACCGGGACCCGCGACCGCCACGGCUAGAGGGCUCGAUCUGCACCCACCGGGGUCACACGGCUUCCAAGGUGGGAAGAUGCUCACUGAUUGCUCUGGGAGCCUCCCUUCUCAGAGCGGAGGAGGGAAGGGCGUGCGCGCGCACACACAGACAGACACACACGCACACAUCCUUUCCCGGGAGUUGUGUCUGGUCUCUCUUUUGUUUUUCUCCCUUCGCGGUCAUGAGACCCGGAAGUUUUUUUUUUUUUUUUUAAUCCUGUCUCUCCCUUUUCCAACCCCCACCCCCCCCAAUCUAUCACAUGGCAGAGAUAGAAUAAAAACAGAAAAAUGGCGACGGUCACGUUGUAGCGAGCACGUUGUAUCCUUGCUGCGUCAUUAGAUAAUCCUCAUGCAAAUAGCGGGAAGAACAAAGGAAGGGGGGCCCGGGACCCCCCGGGGGCGCAGGAAUAGAAGCUGAGAAUGUUGGACUCUGCAGAAAAGAGGAGUGGGAUUGUGUUUCUGGAACAGCUCAAAGCUCUAAAAGUGGAGGCAUUCCAAAGGUUGUUAACCAUCCUUGACCGUAACUGUAGGACUGACAUCAACUAUAAUGAAAAACACCCCACAGGUGUGCUAUAAAUACAUAAUCAUCAGUGUCAUCAAUUUGAGUACAUUCUUGGCACUCAGAGCAAGAACAGUAAGUCAUUUUUUUUGCUCAGGUGUAUUCUUAAAUUGUAAAACCCCCACACAUUUUUGCUUCAUGAUCUGAGAUACUGAGAAAACUAAAAAUUUUAAGCAAAAAGUAGAUGUUUUCAGGAAUCUUUUUGUUUGCAUAAAUUGUAUAAACUGAAUAUCCAGUUGAUGGGGUUGAAUGGCUAGGUCAGGGGAGAGAAAAAAGCCCUAGGCUCAAUUGUUAGACAUGGAUUUGAACCCAGGUUCAGUGUAACUUAGUGGUAUGACCAGGUAAAUCACCUAUCCUCUCUUAGGUUUUUAUUUUCUUUCUGUAAAAUGGGCUCAUGCCUAAUUCUGGAAUCCUUUUGUGAUGAAUUAAUGAGUAAUUUAUUGACAACCCCCUAGGGUUCUUGUGAAAACCAAAGGAGAAAGCACAUAGAAGAUUACUGAAUGUUAAGUAGACAUGAAGUAUUACUGCCCUGUUUUAUUAUGAGCACUUUGAGAGCAGGGACCAUGUCUUAUCUUCAUUUCCUGAACAUCCAGAAGAGGUCUUGGAACAUUGAUAAAUACUUGUUGCAUGAAUGGCUGAGGUCUGGGAGAGGGAAUCAGCGAAUCCGCGCAGGGGAGAGAUGACACUGUGAAAUAGAGCUGGGAGGCGUAGUUGAUAUAUUGGUUGCUUAUCAUUAACAUGUAUACAUCGUGUGUUCACCUUGCAUCUUAAUAUAAUUCAACUGGGUCUUUUACUGUUUCAGCCUCACCACUUGCUGGGCUGUGACCCUACUUUUACUUCUGCUUCCCCACAUCCCGAACCAGAAGGGGACCUUUUAGUCCUUCACCUCGUGGGGCGCCUUCAGAGGGAGUCACGCAGCCGCCCGGGAAGGAUGCUGCCGGCCGACACGGUGACUGACAGGCUGCCCUGGCUCAGUUAUCACAGUGCUGAUGCUGUCCAUUCUAAAGGUACAGUACUGUGAUAACUGAAGGAUGGCAGCCAUCUUGCCUUCCACGGAGGAGCCCCGCCGUGCCGGGAAGGAGGACGCGAGGCCCAGGCGGGAGAAGCGGUGGCGGGGACCCAGGAGCCCUCUUGCCCUGUGUCUGUGUUCUGCCUCUCCCCGAGCGCAGGGGACGUUGUUCCACCUGUCUUUGCCUUGUUCUGUGAUAGGAGGGUGAAGAGGAGUUGGGUAGAUGUUGGCCCUGUUGGGCUGAGCGGACGUAUCAUUAAGAUCUUCGGAAUUUUCAGGUGACUGAUGCUAGAUAAGUGCUAAGUGUGGAUUAGUAUUUCUGGAGUGGUAUUCCGAGAAAGUUGGGCCACUUAGAAAUGUAAAAAGCAACCCGAUUAAAAUAGCUUGAUGCUUGUGAAUUUAGAUGUUCAAAAUGAAAUUCAGCUUAAGCAGGGAGAAAAAAGCCCUACGUGUUGAACAGUAUUCAUGUAAUUGCACGAACAGAAUUACAUCUUUGUGUUUAAGGAAUGGAUGGGGACAUGGCAUGUUUCUUUCAGUAACAAAAAAUAUUUAGAAACUAGUCUAACUCAAAAAAUAUUUGAUGAAUGCCCAUGUUAUUGCUGCUGUCACCUUUACAUGAAAGUAAAAUGUGUGUAAAUAAUUUUCCUGUUGUCAAAUAAUUAAGGGGGUGGGUAUAGCUCUGGUAGAGUGCCUGCUUAGCAUGUAUGAGAUCCUGGGUUCAGUUCCCAGUACCUCCAUUUAAAAAAAAAAUUUAGGACUAUUUUGUGAUGACAUCUAGAACAAAUCAAUUUCAGGGAUAUGAAGCUAUAAAUACCAACCCACCAUCAGGUGUGCGUAAAAGACUAGGAAAAUUAGCAGAGUGAGCGUCUGCAGCCUGUACUGUGCAGGGUGCGUUUGGGCUUAGAGGUGGGAUUAUUAGAGUACCCAGGGUUUCCCACAGCCUUCCUCCCUGAAGACUCCCAAGGAAGCUGUACACGUGGACCAGCAGCAGACAAGACGCAGGGUACACGACCUUAUUAUGUGUUAGAUCAUAGUCCGUUGCAAGGCUUGGAUCAUUUCAUGUAGUUUAGGCUCUGUGCCUUAAACAGAGACCUCUUGACUUCUCCCCAGGCUCACGUGUACCUGGGAACCUUCCCACCCUGUGGGUAGCCGACUAGUGUAGGAACCCAAAGCAGUGGGCAAGGAGAGAACAGGGCCUGUUGAGGUCGGGACCUGCCUACACAGGGCAGGGAGAGCCUGGGAAGGAGAACAAUGUGUGUGACCCUUUAAUGUACAGAGACAUUACCCACUAAUCAGCGCAGCCCAGUUAAUGUCUUCAGCCAGUUUUAUUGUCAGGUUUGUCACGGGGACAGAAUACAGAAGAAGAAAGGGAACUGGGAGCCAAGAGGGAAGCGAAGCGUUACCUCCCGUCCAGAGAGGUUCGGUCUGCCCCUCUCUUUGCCAUCAUCAGACGUUGCAGGUCAUCGUGCUCCUCCGCUGGUUUGCACAGUUCUCUGACCUCUCUGCCCCCUUCUCCACCCGGAGGGGGCCCUUUCCUGGAGGAACCCCUUGAGCCACACCUGCUUGGCCCUGAGUUGCUUUCGUUGUAGCAUUGAUCCCAUUACAGCCCAGGGCCUUCACGUGUCCUCAUCCACUCAGGGCUUCUCUGAACUGCAGGCUCGACUGUGGUUUUGAUUAGUUAUUGGGAGGGCUGGCUCUGCCCAGUUGUGGAUUUUACUCCCAGUCCUGAAAGUCCUUGGAGUUUCCUGCUCCCAUAAACAGAAAAGGAAUUUCUGACAGAAACCCUGGAAGAACUUCUAAGAAAGGAAAGUUUGGGGAUUGGUGAGUUCUCAAGUAACUUGAAACACUCCUAAUUUUUAGUGUUAUAGCAGGUGGAAAAAACUGCUUCAGGGAGUGAUGUGUUGUGCAAUCGUUGGCCUUGGUGAGUAUUUCUCCACCUUCCCUGGUCUUCCUGUUUUCUCGUUACUAGUUUUAUUUUAUCAGGUUUUAUACUUACCGGACCUUGACCCCCCAGUUCCACACCCGAGCCUGUGGGCUGCUGCAGAGCGGAGUGUUAGGUGUAGUUUGGAGUCACUCCUGCAUUUCUGCAGAAAGAGCCAUACUGGGUCCCAUUUCCUAUCAACAGGAAAGCCUGGGGCUCAGUCUGUGGCAGGAGCACUGGAAGGCUUGCCUGGGCCUGGAGAUCCCUGGCACUUUGGGACAGUUCAUAGAGUUAAGGUGCUCCAACAGGUUAAGUGAGAGGUGAUCCAAGAGAAAUCUGAUGGGGUUUUUCCAGCUUUGUUUAAAACAUACAUACACACAGUAUGCUUUUGGUUGGUGUAUUCACUGUAUUCUUCGGUUUAGAGAUGUAAGAAUGGGAAGAUGAAUUAAACACAGAAAUACCCUAUGAUCCAGCGUCUCCACUUUCAGUCACAUACCCAGGUGAAUGGUCUCAGAUACUUGUGCACCAGUGUUCACAGCAGCAUCAUUCAAAAGAGCCAGAAGGUAAAAGCAGCCCAAAUGCCCAUCGAUGGUUGUAUGGAUAGAUGAAGUGUGUAUGCCUACAACGGAAUAUUAUUCAGCAUUAUUCAGGAAGAAAAUUCUGACACCUGCUACAACAUGGAUGGACUUGGACGAUAGCUAAGUGAAAUGAGCCAGACUUUAAAGGACAAAUAGUGUAUGAGUCAUAGAAGAUUCCUAGAGUAGUCAAAUUCAUAGAGUCAGAAAGAGGAAGGGUGGUUGCCCGGGGCUGGAGGAAAGGGAAAUGGGAAGUUUGUGUUUAAUGGGUACAGAGUUAUUGGGGAAGAUGAAAAAAUUCUGGAGUUGGAUGGUGAUGGUUAUACAAUGUGAAUGUACUUGCUGCCACAGAACUGUACACUUAAAAAUGGCUAUAGUGAUAAAUUUUAUGUCAUUUUACCACCCCCCCAAAAGAAAGCAUUUCAGAGUAAUAGCAUUGUUGUAGCCAGCAACAGAAUUGAGUUUAUUGCUCUCUUCUUCAGACGGUGUUCAGUGUGAAGAUAAUCACUGUUUCAAAUAAGUAAUUAAAACGUAAUUCCCAUAUCUUUAUGUGUUUAAAGUUCUGUAAUAUGUAGACUGUUAAACAUUUUUCCAGGGUUUCUGACAUAGCAUAGCUUUAAAGUUUUGUGAACUAUGAGAAGUAUAUUAACAGUACUAACUCAACAAGAAGGCAGGUGAUGGAGCAUCUCUUUCUGGCUUUGUGCCUUUUCUGGUGAAGCUGAGUGACUUACGGAACCUUCCCAUGCUCCAGAUGCCUCAGUUGCCUACUCUCUGGAAUCGUGGUAAAGAUGGAAUUUUACUUUUACAUAUAUAUAGUUUGUAUCAUAUGAAUUAUAUAUAUGUGUACACACACACACACACACACACAUACAUAUACAUGACUAUUUUGAUGUCUAAAGCAGCAUUCAAGUGUGGCGUAUUAUUUCUUAUCCUCAAAAAUGUAGAAAUACAAUGUCUGAAAAGAAUAGCAUUAGUAUUUUAAAACAAAGUUUUAAAAAGCAUCCUAAUUAGACUUGUAACUCAAAGUAUUAUGAGCCUUAUUAUAAAGAGCAUUCCCUAGCUUGCUCUCAAUCACGAAAGGUUUCUUUCUGUGUUAUUACAUGCUGAAGUUUGAAAAUGAGGAAAGUAGAAGCAUAGAGAUUAGGAAAAGAUAGCAAUAAACCUUCUCUAAAGGACUGCAUGUUUCACUAGCCAUGAGUAAAAAGCAUUCAUUUGUGGACCCUGGCUACUUGAUCACAAAGCUCUCACUUGGCGUUGUGCUCUGGAAAUCAGAUUUCUUGUAGGAACUGCCGCCCCCAUCCCGUGCAGUAGUCUGCCUUGAUCAAAAAGUAAGCUAUCAUCCCUGCCAUGCCAAUUUCAAAUAUUUUGCUGUGUCUCAUACAUUUUGAGCUUCCCUGAAUAACCAGCCAACUAUACAUGUGCCAUAAAUUUGUCUGUACCAUUAUUAAGCUGAUUUGUUUCUUCCAAAUCAGUUGCUUUUUGAGAGAACAAGAUUCUUUUUAAAAAAAUUUUACUGAAGUGUAAUAAUUACAGUGUGUCAAUUUCUGGUGUACAGCACAAUGUCCCAGUUUUAUGUAUAUGUUUUUAUAUUUACUUUCAUUAAAGGUUAUUACAAUAUAUAGAAUGUAAUUCCCUGUGCUAUACAGAAGUUUGUUUUUUAUCUAUUUUUAUUUAUAUUAGUUAAUAUUUGCAAAUCUCAAACUCCCAAAUUUAUUCCUUCCCACCCCCUUUUCCCCAGUAACCAUAAGAUUGUUUACUAUGUCUGAGUCUGUUUCUGUUUUAUAGAUGAGUUCAUUAGUGUCUUCCCUUUUAUUCUUUUUUUUUAGAUUCCACAUGUGAGUGAUAUCAUAAUGUAUUUUUUUUCCCUCUUUCUGGCUUACUUCACUUAGAAUGACAGUCUUCAGGCCCAUCCAUGUUGCUGCAAAUGACAUUAUUUUAUUCUUUUUUAUGGCUGAGUAGUAUUCCAUUGUAUAAAUAUACGACAGCUUCCUUAUCCAGUCAUCUAUUGAUGGUUAUUUAGGUUGCUUCCAUGUCUUGGCUGUUGUAAAUAGUGCUGCUGUGAACAUUGGGGUGCAUGUAUCUUUUCGAAUUAGAGUUCCCUCCAGAUAUAUGCCCCAGAGUGGGAUUGCUGGAUCAUAGGGUGAGUCUGUUUUUAGUCUUUUUUUUUUUUAAUUUUUUUAUUGAGUUAUAGUCAUUUUACAAUGUUGUGUCAAUUUCCAGUGUAGAGCACAAUUUUUCACUUAUACAUGAACAUACAUAUAUUCAUUGUCACAUUUUUUUUUACUGUGAGCUACCACAAGAUCUUGUAUAUAUUUCCCUGUGCUAUACAGUAUAAUCUUGUUUAUCUGUUCUACAUACGCCUGUCAGUAUCUACAGAUUUUGAACUCCCAGUCUAUCCCUUCCCACCCCCCACCCCCUUGGCAACCACAAGUUUAUAUUCUAUGUCUAUGAGUCUGUUUCUGUUUUGUAUUUAUUUAUUUUUAGAUUUCCACAUAUGAGCGAUCUCAAGGUAUUCUUCUUCCUCUUUCUGGCUUACUUCACUUAGAAUCACAUUCUCCAGAGACAUCCAUGUUGCUGCAAAUGGCAUUGUUGGGUUUUGUGGCUUAAUAGCAUUCCAUUGUAUAAAUAUACCUGUUUUUAGUCUUCUGAGGAAUCUCUAUACUGUUUUCCAUAAUGCCUGCGCCAAACUAUAUUCCUACCAACACUGUAGAAGGGUUCCCUUUUCUCCACACCCUCUCCAGCAUUUAUCAUUUGUGGACUUUUUAAUGAUGGCCAUUCUGACUGGUGUGAGGUGGAGACAGUAAGAUUUUUGUGUUUUAUAUGCUUCGUAGAGGAUUUUUUCCCCUAAAAAUUGCUUCCUUUAAACUCUACACUCACAAUUACAGUUUAUCCUCACCAUGUAGUUCGUUCUCCUCAUUACCUGUUAGAUUAAUCUUUUACCACACAAAUUCUUCAUUAAGCAGGAGUAAGAGUAAGGGAGGCACCAAAAAACCACUUUUUUCCCUUCAUAUCCAAAAUAUGAUUGUGCAGAUUCCCAUUGGAAGAGAUGCCAAGUACUCGAGUGUAUCUGGGACAUUCUCAGCUGGAGUUCUUUAUAUUUAAAGAGUUUGAGAGGGUUUUGUGUUGUAAUGCAUGCUCCUAAGGUAAUGUAUGUUAAAACAAUUCACCCAAUUGAAAUGGAGUAAAAUAAGCUGAUUGUAUCUUGCUUUAUGCAUUUGCACUGUUACUGUACUUUUAUUUUUCAUGAGAUUAUGAGAUGGAUAGUGAUGUUAAAGAGUGUUAAGACAGAGAACAGUUCCAAUUUAGUGGGAAAUUCAUUUUCAUUUUCUGCCACUAUCUUUGUAAAUGAAAUUCUAGACAUAUUACCUAGACUCCCAUUCCUUGUUUGUUUGUUUUUUUUUGUGGGAAAUGAGUAUCUUUGGACCAGGAAUAUCUUAGGGUCCAUAGAGGUAGCUACCUAGAGUACUUUGCUCUUAAAGACUUUUCAGGCUACCUCUGGGUUCCACAGAAGAGAAUGUUGUAACCACCCAUCCAGGUCUACCUGUGAUCAGCUCUCAGUGUCUGUCAUCUGCAUCAGAUUGAGAUGCAGAUACACUGCUGACCCCUUUCCAGGUGCUAAAGUAUUUUCAGAGGUUUAGAUCUUUUGGGAAGGCAGAAAUUCUCAAAGUUACAGUGAUAGACUAGAUUUCUGGGAACCAUGUCAUUGGUAACACAGACACCCUUUCUUAUGGGGAGGGUAUCUUGGACUUCUAAUUAAAAUAUCUACCGGUAUAAUGUAUAGAAUUAUGUCUAGAUAUGUAUUUUCCCCAUUUUGUUAUCACUCAUUGAUUUCUACAAAAUUAUUGCUAAUACCACUAUUCUAAUACCAUAAAAUUUGCCACUUUUUAGUAAAUGCAAUUUAGGCAGUCUAGUGCAAUUUAUAUAUGUAGAAUUUUGUGUAAGUAAUUGGGUCUAAUAACUGGAAGAGAUCUUCCUUCCUCCCUCCCUCCCUCUCUCCCUCCCUUCCUUCCUUCCUUCCUCCCUUCCUUUCUUAUAGGAUUAUUUCCUUGUGAUGAGUCAGUGUUGAGUGCCCUUGUUUGAUCCUAAUUCAAAUCUUCAGAAUGAAAGAGUUCUCCACGUUUCAUAGUUUAAAAAUCUGAGGAAGCUCACAGAGGGUUUUAAAGACACACUGCUAGUAAGUGGUAGAGCAAGGCUAUGAAUCCAGAACGGAAAAAGUAUGAGAGAUUAGGUAAAUAUAAACUAAUCUCGCUUUGCUCUUGAACGUAGAUUAGGAGAUGAGGCCUUGCAAAGGAGUUAGACCGAGCAUAUGUUGGAGUGUUUUGGAACUGUCAUACCACCCUCCCCCAUCCACUCUGCCCACCUUCUGUUGCCUUCUUGGCUGUACACCUGUAAUUACCUUCAUAAAAUGAAAAUUUGGUCAUGGCAUGAUUUUGUUUUAAAACCCUCUGAGGGCUUCCUUUACUCUUGGGAUCAAGAUUACUGUCUUUAACUUGCCCCUUGAGAUCCUGGGCAGUCUGGUUCCCCCUCCCUCUCUGGUCCCAUGGCUUGUGCCCCGUUGACUCGCCCUCCUUUGUCCAGGGAAUCAAGCUUCUUUCCACCUCAGGUGCAUUUCCACCUGCCUGGGACACCUGUACCACUCACUUCAUCAGGCUAUCCCUUAUCCUUCAGUCUCUGGUUAAAUAUUAAUUCCUCAGAGACCCCUUUCCUGACACUCCCAGCUGUGUCCAGCCCCGUGACACUGUGCUUUUCUGUCAAGGUACUCAUCACAGUUGAACUACGUAGAUGUAUGUCUUUGGGGGGUAUGGUGUGUGUGUAAUGUCUUGUUAGGUUGUUGAGUUCUCUGAGGGCAGGGACCGUGGCCCUAUCCAUUGCUGUGUUCAUGGUGCCUGGCAUGGAGCCUGGUAUGUGGCUAACAGUGGAAAUCUAAUGUGUGAGAUGCUGGCUGGAGUCUUUCCUGUUUUCUAAAAAUGGACGAGAAGAGUCCACAGCUAAAAAGGUGUUUAAAAUCCCCACUUUUCUCUGAUCAGAGAGCUGCAGCUCCGUGGCCAGCAUCUUCCUGCAAAGCUUUUUCAAGAGGUGCCUUUUCAGCAGAAUCAGCUCCCAGGUUGCCCUUAUCCCUUACGGCCUUCCAUAGGAAAGACAGCCAGGACAAGGAGAGAACCUCCGCUUGGAGAUAUCUUUUGUUGGGAAAUCGGUGAGCUGUUAGCUGUCCCAGAAAGAGCUCCCCACACCCAGUUUCUGCUGAGCUAAGAGAAGGAGUGGGACGGAGGAAAGGAGAGAUGCCAAAUUUGGUGGGACAAGGAUGUGGUUUCUUGGACUCCGUGGUCAGUGGAAGUGAAUCCGUAGAAGGUGGCUUGGGACUAAAGCCUUCUGCCUAGUGCCCCACUGGAGAGCAGCCCCCACAACCCAAGAGUGGACCCCAGGAAUGAGCCAGGAUAUGGGGAGUAUCCCAAAGGAUGAGCCUCUGGCCAGUCAGAAAACUCACCCCACCAAGGUGGGGUGGUUGAUGUGGGAGCCCUCUUUCCAGCUUCUGGAGAGGUGAGCCCCAUUUCAUGCAGAGCUUUUUUUGAAAGAUGUCAUUUCAGCAGAACCAACUCUCAGAUUUACUGUGGAUGGUCAUGAAAGGAACCAACCAAGAGAGUAAGCUCAGGGAGAAGGGGAGGGAGGGGGCUGAGAGAGAGACCACUCGACUCCUCCACCCCGGCCCUUGGAGCCUCCAGCCUUGUCUCAGCUGAGACUUUGUUUUGAACAUGGGAUUAAAAAUUCUCAUCAAAAUUAAAGGCUUAGCAACUCAACUUGGCAAGAGGUCAGGUUGAAGCCCUUAUUACUCAAGAGAGAAGGGUAGAAGUUACUGGACAUAAGAUAGUUUCAUGUUUUAUUCUUCGCUGAGUUGAAAAUCAGAAGUUCAAGUUACUCAUUUAAAGGAUGGAAGGGCUGUAAAAUAUCCCUCAGGUCAAAGGUGGCUUGUCAGUGUUCUCUGCCCUAGAGAGUCCCCUCACCUGCAGUUUCUUACACGUGAAGGUGUGGAAAUGCCAGUUCAGUCCUAAUAUUUCCAGCAGCCUGUUCACUCCCACUGCUGUCCUCUCUCCCUUCUCCAGAAAGCAGAAGGCAACUCAGUGAGAAAGCAGAAUCCAGGAAGGGCAUUUCCCCUGUCCGGACCCCUGGCACAUUUGCCUGCGGGCACCGUGCAUGAGGAUGGAUGGGAGUUACCCAGUGUUACCUGCGGGUCACCACCCAGUGGUGUGUCCCACAUCUUUGACCGUCCUUCUUUGUACCAAAAGAUUCACUAAGAAUAUCCCAGUUUAGAACCAGGUGGCUUAAAAAAGCAAAAAUGAAAACUUGUAGCUGGACCUGCCUUUAAAAAUGUCAGGCCUGUCUUAGAAGUGAGCUUUGUAGACGACUGGUGUGUAACGACUUCCUGGUCGUUCGCCGGAUCAGUGAGCUGUGGAGGAUGGGAACCCAAGAGCUCAUUUGCUCCAGCAGUUUUCACACGGUGGGUUUGAAAUCAAUUAUAUGUGCCUUGACCAGCAUUAAAAAAAUAAAUAAAACAAGAUAGAAAAUAUGAGAGUAUAUAGCCCGUGGUGAGGUCAUAUUACUUCAUGAAACUUUGCAGUUGCUUGCUUGAGUGUGUGUGUAGGAGUUUGUGUACUGGGACACAAAUUUUUUUCUUUUUUCACUCUGGCUUUCAGUUAAGCCCAUAAAUUAUUGAUCUAGAUGUUAGAUUCUCAGUCAUCUCACUAUGUAUUGCAAAUUUGGGGAACUAAAGCCCAGAACGGUGAAGACACUUGUCCAAUGGCAGCAGGAAGGGAGUAGGAACUCAGACUUGCAUCUCAGUCUCAAGGUUAGUGUUUCUCCUUCUCACCAGCCUGCAGAGAGUAGCAAUAGUGACAGCUAACAUUUAGUGAGUGACUACUGUGUGCCAACCUCUGCGUUAAAUAUAUCAUCUUAUUUCGUGAGGAAAGGGGUCAUUUGGCUUUGUGUUUUGUUUCAAGUAAAUGUUCAUGGCUAAAUAGUGGCUUAGGGCUGUUGCCCGUGGCUGGAUUAGAUACAGAAGUUGUGAGUAAACAUUUAAAAGUUUUAUAGCAAUUUGAUAGUAAUUUCAUGUCUGUUGAAUCCAGUAAUAGAAACAUUGGCUUGCAUUUUAUGUCUUUAAUAAAAAUUUUUCUAGCAAUUGAUUUUCAUUGUGUUUGACUAAAGUAUCAGUCCAUGAUGGAUUGGAAAUAAGAACAAACUGGUUCUUCACCACAGGCAACUUGAGAAGCACUGACUUAGACCCGGCAAGGCCAACACCUUUGUCCCUUGGGGCCUCUGUGGUCCUUUUGAAGUGCCAGGUGGUCACAGCUACCCUUGGAAGGGGCAGACUGCUAGAUGCAAGCCCUCUAACGUCAGAGCAGGAGCGAGUAGGGGACUCCCAGUUCUAGAAAUAGCUCCCCUUGGGGAUUUGAGUGGAAGAGGCACCAAUGCCAAUAAAUACCCCAAAGCUUUCAUUUCCUUCAGAACUUGUGGAAGUGGAUCUGAUGGGGAUGUAAUUUCUGCUGUCUCCUCUGGGAAAGCAGAAAGAGCUCCUUCCUCCUAAAGCUGUCCCCAGGAGACGAAGUCCAACACAGAACAAAUUAAAUUCUCAAAUCCCAGGCUCUUCAGUCAGAGUGGCAAGAGCAGAGGGACGAUGCUGCAGAGUUCUCCGGGAGAACAGGGCUGAUUAAAGGGAGCCUGUGGGUCUCCUCGACUUGCAGGCUCUGUGGAGGGAAGCACACUUCAUAAAUCCUGCUGGACUGCUUUCUGGCUAAAUCCUCGUAUUUGUACGAAGAAUUGUUUUUAGUGAAUCAGUGUGUCUUUGUUAGCAUCUUCUGGAAUUCUGCAGACUGCAGCCAAGGAGUUAGCAAGGUUGAGCUCUGGACUGAACAUUUAAUCAGUUGAACGCUUCCUUAUGUUUUCCUGGUUUGUUCUCAUAACAAGUGACCUUAGUCCAACUCCUGGCAACACAUGAUUGUGGAAUGUUCCCUUCUGAGGAAUUCUGCCUUGUUUUUUCAUUCUGAACACACUGAAACCUCUGAAAAUUCAGAUGAGUUUGUUUGGACAGUGAUGAUAAUGUGAGCUAACUGUACCUGCUGUCUGCCCAUGCGUAUUACACCUUAGAUAUGUAUUUAUUUAGCAUUUACAUACUAAGUGUCGCAAUGGUCCUGGUCAAAUAGGCGGAAAAAACUAAGGCUUAGAAAAAUGAUGUCACUUACCUGAUGUAGCUCAGUUCAAGCCUCAGCUGCUACAUUCCCAUGUUUCCUAUAGGUUCUUACCUGCGUCCUUGCGUGAGACAUUGCCAGAACCCCAAAGGCACGACGUUUUCAUUGAUUCUUUUCUUCUACCUGAAAACAGUAUCAUCGGGACCCGCUUCCUUUUGGGUUUGAUUUUGAAUACAUACCACCUAUGCAGUAAUUCAGGAGUGGAAUGAUGCAUUUAACUCUAGGUCCCGCAGACACAGAAGUCCCCAGGAUAAUAAUAGCUAACGUUGAUUGAAGACUUUCUCCAUAACCUGUCCAUGGAGUCAUUUCUACCUGCAUUAUCUUACUUAGUCCUUCCAUGGAAACCGCCUCCUCCUCCCUGUCCCUGUCCCUGUCCCCGCUUUGUUUUCUCAUAGCACUUUUACAUGGUGUGUUCACACUGGCCUGCUUCAGUUUACUUAACUGUAUUUAUUGCUACCUCUCCCCACUAGGAUGUAAGCUCCAUGAGGCUGGAUGUCUUUUUAGCUCAAUAGUAUCAGUCCCCAGCAGGUAGAACCAGGCCUGGCACAUAAUUGGUUGCUCACUUAUUUGUUGAAUGAAUGAAUGAACAGUUCUUAUAGGUAAAUAUCACUAUCAUCCCCUUUUUACAUAUAAGGACCCUGAAGUUUGCGGUAUAAAAUAAUGUGCUCACAUUAGAAGCAGUUACUCUUUUAUUUCAAAAUCAGCUUUUUUCUUUUUUAACUUUUUCUCUUUUUUGUUUUUGAGGGGGGAGGUAAUUAAGUUUACUUAUUUUUUAAAUGGAGGUACUGGGGAAUGAACCCAGGACCUCAUGUGUGCUAAGCACACACUCAACCACUGAGCUAUCCUCUCUCCUUCAAAAUCAGUUUGUAGAUGUUGGUGGUAAGAACUUCCUUUCUCUGCUACGUUGUUGGAAUAAAAAUUUUGCCACAGUCAGAAAAAAGGUUGGUUUGGCAGUUUGAGUAGCCUCCUUAGCGUAGAUAAGCGGUAUGGAAUUGUUAAAUACAUUGGGCGUUUCAUCUACAGUAGUAACUGUAGCCAGUAAAAGGUAAUUAAGGUACCUGUUUCUUCUAUCUAGUUGUGGUGCCCCCAAAUUUGAUAACACACAAUAAAGGGCAAGCUUUACAUAAAUGACUUGCUAACACAAGACGGCUUCUGUUGAAGCACCAGUGGGCCUCUCAUGAGAUAGAAUUUCAAAGUUGUGAAGGGCCUGGGAGAUGUCCAGGCCAGCCUCGCUACCUCUCCCCACAAGGGCCAGACCGUGGGCUCAGGUGGUCCUUCAUGGGACAGCCUGGUCCACUGAUGGACAGAUGCACUGUCGUCGGAUGGCUGCGCUGUCAGGAAAUUCUCUCCACUGAGCUGAAAGGUAUCUCCAGGUAACUUGUAGAAGCUGGUCUGCAUUCUGCUCUCCAGGGAAUUACAGAAUAAAUGAAAUCUUCCUUUCACAUAUUAGCCCUAAAGAUACUGGUUUAUUUUGUACUCCUUUUGGCUGUCUCGUCCCAGUGCCUCAGACAUUCCUCACAGCAUCUUUCCAGCCGUUUCCCCAUCCUGCUUGCGCUCUCUGGCACGCUCUGCAGCUUGUUCACAUCCAAUUUGCUGGGUCCUCCCGGACUCCAGGUGGGGUAUUGGGAUGACAUCCAUUGUUUCUGGCAGCCACACCACCCGGUUGACUCAUCCACACCCCUGAAGCCCUUGUGUGUGAACUAUUGUCGAACUCCAGUGGGAAGAAAGUACUGCACAGAUGGAAGCAAGGAUGACUGAGGGCUAUGAAAAGUAACAGUGGUGCCCGUGGACACUCUGUCCUCCAUUUCUCCAGGCACUCCUGCCACACCCAAGAUAGUUAGGAUAAGAACAACUUUUUAUUGCAUCUGGACUGUGUGUAGGACGCUGUCCUAGCCACUUUUACAUACACUACCUGUUUAACUUUCUAAAAAAACACAUUCAUAGGUAUUAUGGAACUCUGUGUUACACUGGAGGAAACAGAGAUUAGGAGAGAUUAACUAACAUGCUUAAGAUCACAUAGCUUGUAAUUAGUGGAGCACAGAUAUGAAUCUAUCUGACUCCAAAUCCCAGGGUUGACAAGAUGCCUUUCCAGGAGCCACAAAGAGAACAGGCUCAGCUAUCCAAGGCUCCUGUUUUCAUUCUCUCAGAAAAACAGGCGCAGGACAGUACUUUACAGUUGCGAUAUUUUCUUCCUAUCCUUUGAAGAAAGAAAGGAUCCACAUGACUGUGUUCUUGCUCUUACCAGCUGUUCCAUAUCUGUGUAUCUCGUUCAGUCCUCAGGACAUUCUGUGAGGAGAGCACUGAUGUCAUUACCAUUUGACAGGUGAGGAAAUCAUGACUCAAGGAAGGUGAAGUCGGUUACUUACUCAGCUACCUGAGCCCGGAGCCGACAUGCUUUUUGCCACACUGUGUCUCUCUCUUCUUAGGGAAGGUUUUCUACUCAACCCUAAGUGCCUCCCUCCGAGAGGGUCUCUGACCAGACUUAAACACCAUGACAGUCUUCCCCUCUCCUGUCCAGCAUUUCCAGACUUACUGACCUACCAAAUUACAUGAGUGGAAAUGGAGGAAGAUGCACUCACCAAAUUAGAUGAGCAUUUACUCAUUAUUAAAGGCUUCCUGUGUGCAUAGCUUUGGGCCAAGGAUCAGCUGUGGAAGCAGAGUAAGGAGCCAGAUGACUUGUUCGAGCUCAGGCCAGCUGGGCCCAUGAUGCUUCCUUCUCCCAUUGUACGAGCCCCCACAGAAAUUCACGGUGAGUGCAGCGGCUGCUGCCAGGACCCGAUCAUUUAGUAAUGUUCAGUUGAGGGCCAUGGACCCACAAGCCUUCAGACUGAAUUAGCUUACUUGCCAAAUCAUAGGUCCAGAAAUUUAGGGACCACGAGUAAGAAUCUUGUCAAAUCACAUUACUCAUCUUUGUAUUUGCCUAGAAUGUAAGUGUUCACAAAAUACUUGUUACUUACAUAAUUCCAUUUGUUCCUCCCACCAACCUGGUAACGUAGGCUGGACAAGGGUUCCUUACCCUGUUUUGCAAAUGGGGAAUCAGAAACUCAGACUCAGAGACUGGCUGAGAGCCUCAUGGUCUCUAGGGCAGGGCCCAGACACUGCAUUCAAGCUGUGACUCCUGGCCUUGCGCUCUGUUGGCCCUUCUUCCUUCACUUCUCUCUUGCACUGUCCGCGAAACUUCUCGUGCCCCUUUGCCCUUGCCAUUGGCCCAUUGACUACCAGCAGUCACCAGCUCAGAAGGAACUACGCUAGACCAAGCUGGACCUGCUCUUUUCUCAGGCUUCACUUCCUGAGCCAUCUAGUCACCCUGACUUUCCAUAAAACAGUUGCGAUGGUUUGCAGGUUGUCAUCAAUUUUCACCGUCACUUGAAAGUCCAGUUGACUGCAGCACCAAGCUGCCGUAAAUGCUCUUUUUCCCCAGGCAGGUACCUGUGUAUUAAUCUUCAUGUCACACUACCCAUUUGAAAAACUUAACAACCUCACUUGAUUUCUCUAGGGUGGACAGUAAGCUGAGGAAUGUCUCAGGAAGCCAAGGCUUUCUGUGUAUUGGCUCAGUGGAGAUCAUUUGACCUAAAGCUCCCUCUUACCUCAGCCAGUGGGCAGGAGCAGCGACCUCACGCCACCCAGCUCAGAGUCAAAGCCUGCUGGCCACCACCCCACCCUGUCCUAGCUCUAAUCUAGCCUCCCUUCUAAAAUGUUGUCAUUGCAAGUAUGUCCUAUGUGUAGAAUCUUAACUGUAUAUACCUUUUGGAAUUGGCUUUUUCAUCUCAGCAGAGUUUCCUGGACAUUCAUCCAAGUCAUGAUAUCGAUUUUUGUUUAUUAUCUAAUGUCCAUGCAUUAAUUUUUUUUAAUUUAGGUUUAAAUUUUUUUUUAAUUUCACUUAGAUUUUUGAUGGUGGGGGAGCGGUUUGUUUGUUUUUUUAAUUAACUAAAGUCUAUAGCUAGAGUUACAGAAGCUCGCUCUGCUGCUUCCUAGCCAGGAGACCUUGUAGACUGAUAGAUCUUUCUGAGACUCCAUGUCCUCAUUUUUAGAAUAAGCAUCACAAUUAGAACUUAAUACUAGUUUAACUUUUUAAAAAAGAAUUUUCUAUUUAUUUUAAUGGUGGUGUGGGGAUUGAACCCAGGACCUUGUGCAUGCUAAGCAUGUGUGCUCAACCACUGAGCUGUUACCCAUCCCCCUGACUUUUUAAAGUUUCAAGGAGGAAAAGCAUUCAUAUUCUCCUCAUUAACGGAGGCUUACCAUAAAGAUGCGAGACAGUGUCUUCUUUAGCCGCAAGGAGCCUCCUGGUCCCAGCACUUCAAGGAUUUGGAUAAACAGCAGGCCUUUUGUAUUGUUUAGAGGAGCAGGACCACCUUUUCUUUGUGACCUCCUCUUGUCAUUUCGUAUUACCCAGGAGAAAAGACCUGAUUGGGUUGGUUGGCUGUUUCCAGUAUAGAGAAACUGUAAUGGGCCCACACCAAACCCCUUGAAGGUGUCCUCUCUUGAAGCCCUCUUAUGAACACGCUGGGGGAAUCUAUCAGCGUCUCUGGCCAUCUGUCAGAACCAAGCAAAGAUGCCUUGGGAGGUGAUGCCUGUGUCACUGGUGGUAUUCAGGCUGAGGCUGAUGGUCACAUUUCAGGUGUGGGACCAAGCAGACUGCAGCUGAUCCCUGCUUUAGUCCUUUGUAGAUAAAGAGCAGAAUGUGUUUUAUUCAACAGAGUAAAACAUGAAAAGUACCCUCUCAGUCAGCGUGCUCAGGAGGAACUGGAUUUGAAAGAUCCUUAAGGCUUAACGGACCCCCAUUGAGGACAGUGUUUCACAAGGUUUAUAAGGAGCAAAAUUCAAUGGCCAAGAACACCUUUGGCCAGCUAUAAAGCCCUGUACGAACACUAGUGAUUUCACAACGUCAGCUGAUUUAACAUGCAUUCAGUCUCAUCUAAGUAGCAUUUUGGAUAUGUGCCGCUAGAAAGGAAAUUUCCCUGUGUGUGUGUGUGUGUGUUUUAAAUAAGAGACUUCAGAAAAUGCAAAUACACACACGCAUUUGCUUGUGUUUCUUAAAGGAGACAGUAGAGUUCAGUAUAGAGCUGGAAACAAGGCCAGCUGGUUCCUGUGAAAUGUCUGUGGGCAGAAGGGCACCAACUCAGAUGACGGCUUCCGGGUUUCUUGUGAUGAUAGUUACAGAAUGGCCAUCAGGGAGGAACAAAGCUUGGUCAUCAGACAGAUCCAGGAUCCUCGGCUGUGGUGCAGUUUCUGAAACAAACAUAAAUCAUCGAAAGCUUACAGGUUCCAGCUCCUUCCUCAGACUCCAUGUUUGAGAUGCUUAGAGGAACUAAACCACAUCUCUGUAUAUUUAGUCCAACAAUUUGUUCCCCUCUCAGCUUUCAGGCUGAGCCUGGGGAAAUGAGAGGAUCACUCCCUCCCCCUUGAACACUGUAAAUAGCUUGUUCCCCUUGGCGGGGGUCCUCCUCACCUUGGUAACGAGUAAUUCCUGCCGACUGCCGCGGACCCCAGGCAGGAGCAGGGCCUGCAGGAGCACAGAGGGAGAUCUGUGUUCUCCUGGGCUGCUCGGCCUCUGAGCAGCCCAGCCCUGCUCGGAAUCACUGGGCCUUGACCCUUUAGUGACACCCAAGACCAGAUCACAGAUCCUCAUUUUUCAGGAUGAAUCCUACAGUUUUGAUUUUGUGGUUCUUGAGAAGAAUAGGAGGGCUAAGAAAAAUCUUUGCGUAUCCCUCCCCGCCCCAAACCCCAAGUCCCAAGUGCCCCUCCGCUAACUCCCUCUGCUCCCUUUUAUCCCAGCAAUUGCCGUAUAUUCUUGUCCUUCAUGAUUUUUCUGUCAGCUUCUCUAAAAUGUGAGCUCCUUCCGGGCAAGGAUGAUGUCUUUUUCUCUGGGUCUCCCCUGCCCCUAGCAAAGUGCCUGGCAUAUGAUAGGUGCUCUGUAAAUGUUUAUGAGCUGAACACAGAAGAACCAGAAUGCAGCCACAGGAGGUUGAGCAGGCUCCAGAGGGUGGGGAAGGCCCUGGAAUCCAGGUCCCCUGAGGACAGGGUUGUGUGUGUGGUGUGCUGGGAGACUGGUGGACAGAAUAACAGACCCCCCAAAGAUGUCCCUGCCUUAAUUCCCAGAACCCUUGAAUCUGUUACGUUAUGUGGCAAGGGAGACUUACAAUUGCAGGUGGGAUUCAGGUGACUGAUCUGCUGACCUUAGCAUCAGGAGAUUAUGGUGGAUGAGCCGGGCGGUCAGUGUCAUCACAGGCUUCUUAUAAGAGGGAGGCAGAAGGGGCAGUCACAGCAGGAGAUGUGAGGACAGAAGCGGAGAUGUGAGGGCAGAAGCAGAGAUGGGAGUGAAAUGGCCGCAAGCCAGGGAGCACAGGCAGCCUCUAGACAACGGGAAAACAAUGGCCAGGGUCUCCUGCGGAGCCUCCAGGAGAAACACAUCUCUGCCGCCACCUUCCUCUUAGCCCUGUGAGGCCCAUUUCAGACUUCUGGCCUCCAGAGCUAUCGGAUAAUACAUUUGAAUCGUUUUAAGCCCGCUAAAUUUAUGGUACUUUGUGACAGCAGUAGGGACCUAAGAAUGAGGCUGAGCUUGGUGGAAAGAACCAAACAGAGGGCGUGAGCCCAGGAAAGGAGAUGCCACGUGGGAACAGCUCAGUCAGCAUCACGAGACCUCAGCAGAGUCACCUCCAAUGAAGAUUCACUGACAGUAUGACCAGAAUUGGUCAAUAGCCCAAUAUGUGCUGCUUCUAGCCCCCCAGGGACGGAGUGCCUCUAGUAACUGGGGAGAAGCCUUAGUAGAGCAUACCGUACCAGCGUGCGAAGACCUGGCUUUGAGUUCUCUGCCGCCUGUGGCCUCAGCAAGUCAUGUAACCUCUCCAAGUCGUCGUUUUCUGAUCUGCAAACUGGGGAUAAAUCUGUCUCCUAAAUGGAAGGGCUGUUGUGAGGAUUACAUAAGAACACAUGUAGUGUGCUUAACAUAAUGCCCACCACAUAGUACACAGUUAUUACUUUCUGUUACUACAGAUACGCACGCGAUCUUGUUUGUAACAACAGUGUUUGAGGUGCCCCUGUACUCCUCACUGACUAGGUCAUAGGUGGAGUCUGUGGUGAGUUCGGGGAAUGAAAGUCAGAGGAGAGCAACCAGGAUGGUGAAAAGACCCCAAGUCGGGUCCUCUAAAAAGAAGGGCCAGGUGAGUGGGGAGGGUUGACAUGAAGCUGCUUGAGGUUACGUGACUUGUGGGAUCUGAUGGAAAAUGAAAGAGUGGGUUCCCUUGUUCAAAACAAUUAUGAAGAAUUUCAAGAUGAUAACAACAGAGCAUUAAACAAGUGUGGGGCCCUUCUGAGCAUGGGGCCCUGCUGCACAGUUCGCACCCCCAUGAAGUCCCUGCGUGUCAUUGUGUAAAAGUGAUAGCCUCACUCUGUGAGGCAGUGCUGACGGCAGCAGCAAGAAGGUGAACAAGUUCAGGGCCUUGAAAGAUGAUGCCAGUGGGGACCGUGAUCAGAAUGAAGAAAAGAGUGCAGAGAAAGAUGGUGAGAAGGAAACAUCUGAAUGGGACGAGAGUCAGAGCGGUAGCAAGAGGAAGGCUGUUGUCCCUGGACCAGAGAGCAUCCCCUGCAGUACAACUACACUUUCUGGUACUUGGGAAAAUCUGGGGCCAUUGCACCCACUCAGAGAGCUUUGAAGAAGAUCAAACAGAUUAGUAUCUUUGCCUGCUUGGAGCAGUCCGCAGUUUUACAGCUCCCUGGAAUCUGACAGGCUACAGUGAUGUCUGUCUCUUCAAAGAAGGAAUUAAUCUUAUCUGGGAAGAUAAUGCAAAUAAAAAUGGUGGCAAGUGAAUUAUUUUGCUGUGGAAGGGUUUGACAUCCUGUUGCUGGGAGAAUCUCAUCCUGGCCGUGCUGGGGAACAGUUCACGGUUGGGGAGGAGAUCUGUGGGCCUGUGGUUUCAAGAGGUCAUUGUUUCAAUAUAAAACAAGACUGGUAGUGAGCAAUCUAGUAACCACAGCCUGAAUCUGGACAUGUGUGUGUUUGUCCAAAAUGAAUGGAAGAUCUCGAGCCAGUCCUUCCAUCUGCUCCUGAAGGGACAUCCCUGAGUCUCAUGCCCCCUGCCCCUUUGCACUCAUUCCUGGAGGCUGACAUUGGCUAGACCCCCUCCAGCAUGGUUGACUUAAUAAAGCAGAAAAAUGGAAACUGUGACUUUGUAAUAGACCCACUUCAUUUUUUAAUGGAGUUCUGUAGAGGGGAGUUCAGCCUUUUGUCUUGCUCUGUGCCGUCCAGAUGCCUCUCGGGCGUUCUGUUGUGUUUUUGUCACGCAUGCAAAAGACCUCGUGACCACACGAACGAGCCAGAGCUGCCACUUAAGAGCUGUCGGUACUGCUAAUGUCUGUGCGUCCAGGAAGAGCUUUCUGUCGGAGAGUCCCGGGAUAGCUGUAAAUGCUCUCUUCUAGCUCUGCUGUGAAAUUAUUGGGACAUUAUGUGAAUUUCUGCCCCCUCAUCCCCCAAGCCCACCACUUUCUAAAAACGUGGUACUGAUUUUGUAUUGUCUCUGCUUCUGCCCACCCUUCCUUCCCCCAUGGCGGUCUUUCCUUGGAGGCACAGCUGCACGCAGCAGCCCAUCCAUUGGGCCACGCUGGCUUCGCUGAGGCGACUUAGCAGGGUUGAUGCCUAGGUCAGUUAAACAGAUUAGGAGCUAGAUUAUUAUAAUGUAUGUUUAUCUUUUUUAAUGAAGUAUAGUCAGUCACAACGUGUUGAUUUCUGGUGUAGAGCAUAAUGUCCCAGUCAUGCAUAUAUACACAUAUAUUUGUUUUCAUUAUAAUGUAUGUUUCAAGUAUAGGAGUUGGAGCUAAAGACAAUGAUUGAAAUCAUUUUCCCAGAUGAGCAGGGCCUGUACGUCAAGCCUGUUUCUGUGGAUUCUUGUGUGCCCCUCUUUGAGGAACUUGAACUAAGGGGAAGAAACUGCAGAGGUAACAUAAGGAAGAACUUUGUAAGAAGCCAGCCAGAGGAGAAACUUUGGCACUUCUGUCCCCAGAGGUGGGCAGCCACUAUGCUGGAAGGCAGAGAACUCUUCAUUGCUAAGGGUGUUCAGAAUCUGAAGAAAUUAUGCUAAAUGACUGCUAACAUUAAUUUCCAGUUCUGAGACUGGAUAAUUCUAUCAAAUGUUUUAAGAAAGGGGAUUUUAAGAGCCCUCAAGCUUUUCUCAAAAAUUUAAUGUGAUUUUUGAACAAUAUAGAACAACACACAUGCUCUUUCCUGCACUUAUAGUUUUUGAUGUAUUUUCCCUAUCGUAAUUAUUCCACUUACAUACAGUUUUUCUGUUUAUGCAUUUUCAUGAUUACAUAAUAUUCCACUAAAUGUACAUAGUAUCGUUUAUUAUUCCCUAGUUAUUGGGUGGUUCUGUUCUUUCCGAUGUUUGAUUAUUAUAAAAAGCAAUGCUCUAGAUAUUUUUGCAUACACAGCUUCUCUUCCCUCUUGAAAUACUUCAUUAGAAUAAUUAGAGCUCAUUAGGUUGCAGAUUACACAGCUUGUCGGAAGAGCCUAGGCAAAAGAGGUUUGUUGGUAAGUAUGUAGGACAAUCACAAAGAUACAAAGUGCGAGACACACAGAGGAGCUGGAAAGAAGUCCAGCACACUCCAUCUUCCCUCCCCUCCUUAGUCUCGAUUUCUUUAGACUGCCUUCUUCGCCUGCUCCUGGUUUCCUGUUGCUUAUAACUCUGGCGCUCAUGAGCCUUUGACUUGCCUUGGAGCCAGGAACCUCUUGUUUUUAUCAAAAGAGUCCAGCGCCAACCACUAUGUGAUCAGAAUUUCAGUAUCUCUCAUACCAGAUACCUGAGCAAGAGUCUGAAAAGCCAAGCUCCUUGGACUUUGUGACUUGAGCUCUCCUCUGAUUGGUGGAGGGGGAGGGGAUUGAUAGUAGGGCCAGGGCUCUGGAAUCUGUCCAGAUUCAUGGCUACCACUUACUAGCCAUGUCACCUUUGUUAGUUACUUAGCUUUCUUGUGUCACUCUUUCCUCAUCUAUAAGAUGAGGAUAACACUGGCACCUACUACAUGACAUUAUUGUGAGGAUGACGUCAAAUAACCUGUGUCAAGGAUUAUAAGAAAGACACGUGAGUCCUCAGUACGUGUUAGCUCUUAGUUUUACAAAGCAUUUUGUUUUGUGGAAAAAUAGACAUAGCACAAAAUUUACCAUUUUAACCAUUUUUAACUGUACAGUUCAAUUCAGUGGCAUUAAGUACAUACACAUCUUGUACAACCAUUACCACUCUCCACCCCUGGAACUUUUUCAUCAUUCUAAACUGUAUCUCUUGUUUUUGAAGUAUCAUCAUUAUGCUUGUUUCAGCUAUGACUGCUUGGGACUACCCUUUGGAAAGGUGUGAAGAGGACACUCCCCAAAGAAUGGAACAUAGUGGGGAGGCACUCUGAGUGUCUACUGAAAAUACCACACUUGUACAGUUCUUUAAGCCUUACAGAGCACUUGUACAUAUUUUUUAAUGCAAUCCUCCCAAGGAAGGACUUCUUUUUUUUUUUUUUUUUUGAUUAGUGGAGAGUCUGGUUUUUUUAAAGUGUAUUUUUUUUUGACCAAUGGAGAGUCUGAUUUUAUUAUAUAUAUGUAUACAUACAUACAUAUAUAUAUAUUGUUUUUAAAGAAGGACUUCUUGAAAUAGAAAGGGCUUAUAAUCCUUAUUUUACAAGAGAUACAACUGAGGUUCAGGAAAUCUGAGUUGCCCAACAUCUCCCAUCUUCUUACUUGCAAUGUCAGGACUGAAGGUCAGGUCUCCUCACUCCAAAUUUGUGCCUUUUCCAUGACAUCUCAGAGAUGGGAUUACUCAGCCGAGCUUUAUACCCAUUUGUUUAUAGUUCCUAUUACAUAUUCUAUUUCAAGUUAUGAGAAGGAAGGGAAAAAUUUCAGAUUGGAACUUGUGAGUGGCUUCUUUCUGGGAAGUGCAGGCCUACAAGAAGUCUGGUUUAGUUUAGCAGUUUCCAUCCUAACAUAUAGGAAAAAUAAGAAUAAUUUAACUUUAUUGUAAAAUGUGAUGAUUCUGUGAAAACCAAAGAGUGGAGGGAUUGGUUAGUAGAUGUCUUAACUUUUACCUUGAGAAAAUUCUGAAGUAUUUGCUGGAAACAAAUGGCAUUACUGAGUGAAUCUUUUCAAUGAGGUAGAGAAAGACACACCAUUAGAAUCGAAAUGGGUGAGUGUCUGCUGGUGUCUUCUGGUUUUUACAGAGAAACAUAUUUUGUUUGAUUGGCUUGAUUGAUUUUUUCUAGUGAAAACCACCUUUGCCAAGUACAAAACCACAGGAAGAAAGCUUCUGUGGCUCCAUAGUGCCUUUCUAACAACUAGAUUACUGUUUGCUGUUAGUCUUUCCAUUAAAAUAAUGGCCACUCUUUUGGGUUAGAUACUUGCCUUCUAUUUGGCACACAGACUCAUUUCCUUGUCACUUGUUCUAAAGGAAAAUCCCUCAGGAUAACUGAACCUUAGUGUGAUGAGCUUUUAUUAUGUCUGCUCUGAUCAUUCUUAUAUUAAACUUACGGAUUCUCCUGUGCCCUUUCAUAUUAAGUAAGUCACUUAUCUUCUCUUUGGCUUUCAGCCUGAUCCCACCCCAUCUGUGUCACCCUGUUAUCACCCUAUCUAUACUGCUCUGUUUUCCUCAACUCAGCGAUACCAGUAAUAUUGCUUUCCUUGUAACUUUCAAAUAAUGUUAUAUUCAGCCAAUGCCUAUGUCUUUUUCCCCAUGCCUUUCCUUUACCCACAUGUUCCCGAACGUUUCAGUCCUUCACUGCCAACAGAAUCCAACUUACUCUCUAACGCUUUCUCGGCAGUGUCAAUCCAAAUCAAUUUCAUCCUGCUGUGAGUUUAUUGAUUGAGCACCUAUUAAGUGCCAGUCCCAUUAUCUCCUCAUUACAAUGGCACAAGGUAAUUACUGUCAUCCUCAUUUUACCAAAGAGGAAACCUUAGGUUUAGAAAGAUUAAAUAAUUUGCCCAGAGUCACACACCUAUAUUUCUAAGCUGAAGACAGAACUGCAGGGGUAACUGAUUCUAAAGCUCUUAGUCCUUACUUCUGUACAGCACAGGGAACUAUAUUCACUGUCUUGUAGUAACCUAUAAUGCAAAAGAAUAUGAAAACAAAUAUAUUUAUGUAUAUGUAUAACUGAAACAUUGUGCAUACACCAGAAAUUGACACAUUGUAACUGACUAUACAGUGAAAAAAAGAAAAAAGGUCCAAAAAAUGCAAUUAAAAGUAAUUAUUAAAAAAUACUUUAAAAAUAAAGCUCUUUCUCUUUCCACUCAUGCUCUCUUAACUACACACCACCCAGCUAGAUGUGUUUAUGUGUGCUAGGCUUCUCUCCUCAUUGGCCCUUAAAAUCAGGGACUAUAUAAUUUAAGAAUUGCGUUCAACUGCUGGUUGCAGAGAUCCCGAGUUAGGAUGGCUUCAGUAAGAUAGAAGCUGCAUUUUCUCUCCUGUAAAAGGAGUCCAGAGAAAGCCAGCCUGGACGGGUAACGUGGACCCUAAGACAGCAUCACGGCCCUGGCCUCCUUUGGCUCUUCCUUCUGCCAUUCCCUAGAGUGUGAACCUUAUCCUGUGUUUACCAGGUGGCUUCUGGAAGUCCAGCCAUCAUAUUUGUGUUCCAGGCAAGAUGGAGGAAAGGAUGAAGGGAAAAGGUAGGCCUCCCAAUCAAAUUUUAAAGACCUUUUCCAGAAGCCUUACCGUAUAAUUUCUGUUUCUGUCUCAUUGGUCACCACAUCUGCAGUGAAGUCUGGGAAAUAUUUUAUAGCCGAGUACACUGAUUCACCGAACAAUGAAGGUAGUCUGUUUCAGAGGAAGAAAUGGAUGGUGAACAGCCAGCUAGUGGUCUCUGCCACGGAGACCCAUGUCCUGAUCUUCUUUCAUAUUUGCAUAGCAUCUAGAAGGUGCUCAGUGAACACUGAUGGGCAGUCUAAUGUAGAGAGAAAGAGAGUGGAAAAGGUAAUUUAGAAAACUGAUAAAUGGGGAAACUGAAGAGACAGGAGCCACAUGUGAUUUCUAACUUACAAGUAUUUUAUAUAUAACAAAAAAAUACCUGCUGUCUUCUCCCUAAAAAAUCCUGCUGUUAUUUAGGUUUCCUGUAUGGAAUGCUUAAAAAAUUAACAUCAAGAGUCAGAAAAUGAGGCCAAGUCAUUUGGAAUUAUUUUGAGUAGAUUCAUUGUUGUUUCUUUCAGCCUUUACUCUUUGCAUACAUUUUAUUUCCAUUUACAAAAUUGGAAUCAUAAAAUGUUCUGUUUUGCCAAAGGACUCUUUGCAAACAACCACUUCUGACAAAGUGACCAGUGCUCAGGCAUCUCUGAUGAGCACUUAGAGGAAAAGCGUAGAUUACAUUUCCAAUAGGAAUUAGUGCUAUGCAUUUCUCUAGCCUUCCUGAGUUUCUUAUUUUGAUUUGCAGAAUAAUUCAAAUGCUUUAAAGAAAAAUCUGUGGUAAUUACCUGAAGUGUUUCACCAGCCCCUAGAUUCACAUCUGGAGAGGGUCUUUGAGAUUAAAACCACAUUUUUGUAAUUUUUAGUUUUGAUGUAAUUUCAGAUUUAGAAGAAAUUUGAAUAAGUAAUACAUGGAACACCUGUAUACACUAUACACAACAUUACCAAUUGUUGACAAUCUGGUCCAUUUGCUUUAUCAUUCUCUCUCGCUCUCCCCACCCCACCUCUCUUUUUCUAUGGCAUGUAGGUAUGAUUUUUUUUUUCCUGAAACUUUUGAGAGUAAAUUGGAAAUGUCAUAUGUUAGGAGACCUCUAAACACUUCAGAAUAUUUGCUGAGGAAAGGAUAUUCUGUUAUAUUACCACAGCAAAGUGAUCAAAAUAAGACAUUAAACAUUGAUACAGUACUGUUAUCUAAUACAUGGUCCAUAGGCACAGUCCAUUAAUUGCCCCAAUAGCAUCCUUUAAUAGCUGUUUUAUUUUCCCAGGCCAGCAUUCAGUCUUAGAUCAUACAUUGCGUUUCAUUGUUGUGUUUCUUUAAUCUGGAACUGUUCUACAGCCUUUCUUUCACUUUCUCUAACUUGAUAUUUUUAAAGAAUACGGGACAGUUAUUUGGUAGAACGUCCUUCAACUUGAGUUUGUGUGACUUGUCUCAUGAUUACAUUCAGCUUAUACCUUGUUGGCAGCAAUUCCACAGAAGUGCUGUUGGAUUCUUCUCAGACCAUCGUAUGAGGAGCCACCUGAUACUGGUUCGUCUUAAUAAUACCACUGACAAUGACUUGGAUUGCUGUUUAAAGUAGCAUCUGCCAGAUUUUUCCACUGUUAAGAUACUGUUUUUCUUUUGUGAAUAAUAAAUUAUUUAUAGCAACUUUUUGAGAGUUGUAUAACUAUCUCUUCCUUACCCGGUAUUCAUCUAUGAGUUUUAGCAUCCACUGAUGAUUUUCAAAUUCCAUCAUUCCUUCUUUUUUCAUUGGUUGUCACCUUACUGUGAGAACAGGUUUCUCUCCUAAAGGAGAAUUUCUGAUGCUAUAUGGCUAUAUGUUUCUUUUUUUUCCCCUUUAAGCCAUUUUCUUUUUUUUCUUCCAGUUUUUAUUGAGAUAUAAUUGACACACAGCACUGUAUAAGUUGAAGGUGUACAGCAUGAUCAUCCGAUUUACAUAAUCAGGGAAUGGUUACCACCAUAAGGAUAGUGAACAUUCAUCAUCUCAUACAGGUGCAAAAUUAAAGAAAUAGAAAACAUUUUUUCCUUGUGAUGAGAACUCUUAGGAUUUACUCUCUUUUAACAACUUUCAUACAUAAUGUGCAGCAGUGUUAAUUAUACUUAUCAUGUUGUGCAGUAUGUCCCUAGUACUUGUUUGUCUUGUAACUGGAAGUUUGUACUUUUUGACUACUUUGAUCCAGUUCCCUCUACCCCUGCUCCCCACCUCUGAUAAUCACAAAUAUGAUCUCUUUCCAUGAGUUUUUGUCUGUUUGUUUUUGAAGUAUAAUCGACCUGUAACACUAUGUUAGCUCCUGGAACACAGUAUAGUGAUUCAGUAUUUCUAUCCAUUUCAAAAUGACUGCUAUGAUAGAUCUAGUUUUCAUCUGUCACCAUGCAAAGAUAUUACAUAAUUAUUGACUGUAUUCCCCACACUGUGCAUUUCAUACCUGUCACUCAUUUAUUUUGUAACUGGGAGUUUGUACUCUUAAUCUCCCCACCAAUUUCUCUCCUCCCCCAACCCUCUCCCCUCUGGCAACAACCUGUUUGUUCUGCGUAUCUAUGAAUCUGUUUCUGUUUUGUUACAUUUGUUCAUUUGUUUUGUAUUUUAGAUUCCACAUAUAAGUGAAAUCAUACAGUGUUUGUCUUUUUCUGUCAGACUUAUUUCACUUAACAUAAUACCCUCAGGUCCGUGCAUUGCAAAUGGCAAGAUUUCAUUCUUUUUAUGGUUGAGUAGUAUUCCACUACAUAUAUGUACCACAUCUUCUUUAUACAUUCGUCUGUUGGUGGGCACUUAGGUUGAUUCCGUAUCUUAGCUAUUGUUAAUAAUGCUGUAAUGAACAGGGGUGUGUAUAUCUUUUCAAAUUAGUGUUUUUGUUUUCUUCAGAUAAACAGCCAAGAGUGGAACUGCUGGGUCGUCGGUAGUUCUACAGGCUGUGUGUUUCUUAGUUGUCUUGGUCUGCUGGGGCUGCUAUAACAAGAUACCAUAGACUGGGCGGCUUAAACAGCAAAAAUUUAUUUCUCACAGUUCUGGAACCUAAGUCCAGGUGCCAGCCAGUUCGGUUGCUGGUGAGAGCUCUUUUCUUGGCUUACAGACAGCCACCGACUUGCUGUAUCCUUACGUGGUGGAGAAGGUGCACUGAUGUCUCCUCUUUUUGUAAGGGCGCUAAUCCCAUCAUGAGAUUUUCACCCUCAUGACUUCAUCUAAAACUAAUCUUCCAAAGGCCCUAACUCCUAAUGCCAUUCAUUACAUUGGGGGUUAGGGCUUUAACACAUGAAUUUGGGGGGAAACAUUCAGUCCAUAACUGACUUUAUAAAGAAAAAAAAAAAAGAAGAUGGUACCUCCCUUGGGUUGGGUAGCUGAUAGUUAGUGUUGAAGCCCAUGCAUAGUAAAAGUGAUUCCUUACUCCAUCCUCUGCAAUAUGACUCUUCAAUUUAAUUUUGUUUUUUUAAUGGAGGUACUGGGGAUUGAACCCAGGACCUCCUACAUGCUAAGCAUGCACUUUAUCACUGAGUUAUGCCCUCCCCCCUUUAGUUUUAUUCUUAUUUAUACUAUCAAAUGCUAAGAGUGUUUGGCCACUCAGCUCUUAUUUUGUACUAAAGUCUGUUUCUUGUUUAUCACUAACAGACAACUCUGGAUUUUAAUUCCGUACUUUCAGUUGUAUGUGUGACUUUGGGUAUCUUCUUUGGACUUCAGUCUCUUUGCCUGUAAAAUAGGGAUGACAAGAUCUAUAUCAAAAGUGUUGCUGAGAGUGGGAGGAGUAAAUGAGAUAAUGUAUGUGAAAGCAUGUGACCAUCGUGGGUGAUGCAAGAAAGCAGUUAAUAAAUACGUUUCCUGUCUUUAAAAUUCCAAUUUUUGGUAACACAGUUUUGCAAGUUUCUCCACUUGCAAGAGGUUAGAAGCUUGACUUCCAUAGAGAAGUUAGAUGAUCUUAGAUACGAAGUCUGCAUCUGAAAGAGGAAGGUUUAGUGGUAUCUACCAACUUUUAGAUGAUUCACUUGGUUCUAUCAGUUUUAUUCCUUCCUUUUUUCCUAUCUUUCUUCUUCCUUUCCUUUCAUUGACAUAUUUAAUGGCAUUUGCUAUGCGCAGUCACGAUUGUAGGCACUGGGGAUAGAGCAGCAAACAAAAUUUCCUAGCCUGACAUCAGUUAUAAUUUAAUCAAAGGAGAUGGGUGAUAAAUAUAGAAACAAACUUUUUCAAUCAUGCAUGGUAUGUGCUAUGGAGGAAAAAAAAAAGCCAGGAAGGGGAAUAAGGAUUGUUGUGAGGGGGUUGCCAUUUUAUUAGAUGGUCAGAGAAGAGCUCACUGAUAAGGGGGCACGUGAGCAAAGACCUGAAGGAGGUGAGGGAGCUGGUCAUUAGAGUGACUGAGGCCAAAGCAUUGCAGGCAGAGGAAAUCUUUCAAAGAGAAGAAACCUAAGGUAGACAAUGACCUACUGAGAAGGUCAGCCAAGGGAAUCAUGAAAGAAGCCAAGCACAACAACACGCCACCUCUCUGCCGUGAGUAUGAGUAUGCGCAAGGACAGAAUGACCAGCAGGAGGUCACAGGUUGCAGCAGCUGAAUGGGGUGCAACUCAGACCUCUCUUCAAGAAACAACUUGCUUCGAGGAGCGCGGACAGCUGACAGCGUCCAGCUGUAGCACCUCCUGGAGCCAGCCCAGCAUCCAAGGUUGGGAUGUUCUCCCGCGCAGCCUCAGCCAGUGACUGAGCAUGGCGGGGAGACCAGGGCGUGACCUCCGCCACGCAGUGUGGGACUCCCUGAAGGGCAGUCCUUGUGCCAGGGCGCCCUGCUAGGCUGCCUGUGCCAUCCAGAGCUACACCACGGUCUGAGGCUCUACCUGCCAAAUCACCCUUCCAUCCCUUCUCCUUUCACAAGUAUCAGACCUGCAUCAUGGUGGAAAGACUCUCCCUGCUCACUCCUACUCCCUCUUCCUUUUAACUUCCACAGGUUUUACCCCUCCUCCAAUAACUUGCUGGUACUUCUAACCCCAUCCUUGUGUCUGUCUGCUUUCUAGAAAACCCAGGCUACCAGGGCGGAGCAGAAAUGCCCAUGACGACAUUUUGCUCUGCCUCUACUACCUACACAAGUCAGGCACAGAGUCAUGGAGAUAGAAAGGGGGCCGUCCACGGUGGUGUCAAGGGGCUGUCUUCAGAGGCUGCUAUUUGGGUCUCGUUCACCAUGCUCUAAUGAUACUCCGACCAGAAACCAUUCUCAGCGUUGAGUGAAUCACGCUCUAAUCACAGAGCGGAGAUUGCAUUUAGGGCUCAAUAAAAUGAUGGAUUCUCAGAUUUUCUGGGAAAAUCUCUAAAAUCCCAUCAGGAAAGCAAACGCUGAUUGGGAAGGAAGUGACUCAGGUGGGGUCACAUGGAGGGCCAGUAGAAAAAGCUACAACCCAGGAUUUCAGAGUGUCCUUUCUGUGCCAGGCACUUGCACGUGUUUACAUAUCCAGAGCCACCUUGUGAUGCUGGAAUCAUGCUUUCAGCUUAGAAAAACGUGAUGUGGAAGGUUAAGUGGUUUUUUCCAAGGUCAUAGCGCUAGCAAAAAUCAAAGCUAGAAUUUCAAACCAGAUCUUCUAACUCCAAUGUUGUGAUUGUUUUUUUCGUGAUUUUACCAUUGGAUAAUUAUUCUCUUGCUUUUAUAAAUAUGCCCGUAUUAAUUAAUUAAAAAAUAAUAUUUUACCCUGUAGCCAUACCUCCUGGCUUUGUUGCUUUGCUAAAAUCCUAUCAACUUUCGGUCAGACCAUGGUUGGGAAAUACUGUAAUGGACAUUUGCUAGUUUUUGACAUCUCAACAUUCAUUUUCCUCUUCUUUUGGUAAACGUAUUCUAAUUCCUCUCUGGCAAACUCUCCUCCCCCACUUGCAGUCCAUGAGCUUUGGGUGGGCUCCAACUCUGAAUGGGCCUGUGACUCCUAAAACAAUCAAGGUACCCAUCCCCCUGGCCACUCCAACUGGGAUUAUCUGUAAUCAAUCAGUCUUUUGCCAGAGCUGCUGGGAGAAAAGCAAGUGCUCGUUCCCAGUUCACCUGAACCUGGGAGAACGUAGGCUGGAGCUGCUGGCACUGCACUGCUGCUGUCAUUGAAGAGUGUGUCCAAGAAUGGUGCUUACACAGCAGAAGCAGAGCCAGGAGAUGAAGAGGGAGAAGUGGGGCCCCCUGUCAUUUUUUUCCCGCACUGGAUCAGGCGAUUCCUGAAGCCAGAACUAUCCACAGAAACUCUCAGUUCUGUGAUACAACAAAUUGCAUUUAUACUAAGCUGGUAUAGAUUGUCAUUUCUGUUACUUUCAGCUGAAAGAGGUUACCCUGAUACAACAGACUUCCUCACUUAAUUCAACCACUGUUAAAAGUCAAUUAGGACUCAGUAUUAAAAAUACAAAUAGCCCAAUUAAAAAUGGGCAAAAGAUUUGAGUAGAUGCUACAGACUGAGUAUUUGUAGCCCUCUGAAAUUCAUUUGUUGAAACCUAUUCUUCCAGUGUGGUGGUGUUAGGAAGUGGGGUCUUUGGGAGGUGACAGGUCAUGAAAGCAGAGCCCUGGGGUUAGUGCCCCUGUGAAAGAGGCCCAGAGAGUUCCCUUGCCCUUCCACCAUGUAAGGACAUGUGAAAAGUCUGCCCUCUCUGAACCAGGAAGCAACCUCUCACCAGGCACCACAUCUGCCAGUGCCUUGAUACUGACUUUCACAAUUUCCUGGAUUCUGACUAAUGCAUUUCUGCUUUUUAUAAACUACCCAGCCUGUGGCACUCUGUUAUAGCAGCCUUAAUUGACUGACAAUAGACAUUUCUUCAAAGUAGAAGUACAGAUGGUGAAUAAGCUCUUGAAAAGAUUCUCAGCAUCAUUAAUCAUUAGAGAAAUGCAAACCAAAAACACAGUGAGAUACAAGUUCAUAUUUUCGAGGGUGGCUUUAAUCAAAAAUACAGACAAUAACAAGUGUUCACAAGGAUAUGGAAAAACUGGAACCCGCAUACAUUGCCAGUGGGAAUGUAAAGUGUUGCAACUGCUUUGGAAAACAGUCUGACAGUUUCUCAAAGUUACCAUGUGACCAGCAGUUUGGCUCCUUGAUAUAUACCCCAGAGAAAUGAAAAAAAUAUGUCUACAAAAAGCCUUGUAUGAGAAUGAUCAUAGCAGCUGUAUUCAUAAUGGCUAAAAACAGAAAACAACUCAAACUUCCAUCAAUAGGAAAUGGAUAAGCAAAUUGUGAUACAGUCAUGCAAAGGAAUACUAUCCAGCAAUAAAAGGAGCAAGCUACUGAUACAUGCAAAACAUGAAUUGAAUGAAAGGAACCAGACCUGAAGUAAUAUAGUAUAUAGUAUGACUUCAUUUAUAUGAAAUCCAAGAACAGGCAAAACUAGUCUAUGGUGAUAGAAAUCAGAAAGUGAGAAGGAAGGGUGUUUAAUUAGAAAGGGACAAAGGGUAUAGAAACUUUCUGGAACUUCAGAUGCUAGUUAGAAGGGUAUGUAUAAUUAUAAAACAUUGAAUUAAACCUUAAGAUCAGUGCAAUCUACUUUUAAAAAUUGAGUAUGUUUUAUUUAAUUUUUUUAAUUGAAAUAUAGUCAGUUUACAAUGUUGUGUCAAUUUCUGGUGUACAGAUAAUGUUUCAGUCAUACAUAUACAUGAUAUAUACUCAUUUUCAUUAUAGGUUACUAAAAGAUAUUGAAUAUAGUUCCCUGUGCUAUACAGAAGAAACUUGUUUAUUUUAUAUAUACUAGUUAGUAUUUGCAAAUCUCAAACUCUCUCAAGUUUAUCCCUUCCCACUUCCUUUCUCCCUGGUAACCAUAAGAUUGUUCACUAUGUCUAUGAGUCUGUUUCUGUUUUAUAGUUAAGUUCAUUACUGUCUUCCUUUUUCUUUUUUUAGAUUCCACAUAUGAGUGAUAUCAUAUGGUAUUUGUCUUUCUCUUUCUGGCUUACUUCUCUAGUGAUAUGCUUUUUCUUAUUAUCAUUUUUCUAUCUCACUUCACUUAGAAUGACAAUCUCUAGAUUCAUCCCAUGUUGCUGUAAAUGGCAUUAUUUCAUUCUUUUUAUGGCUGAGUAGUAUUCCAUUGUAUAAAUAUACCACAACUUCUUUAUCCAAUCAUCUGUUGAUGGACAUUUAGGUUGUUUCCAUGUCUUGGCUAUUGUAUAUAGUGCUGCUAUAAACAUUGUGAAUACCAUUUUUUUUUUAAUGUUGACUGCUUUGAUUAAGAUACACAAAUGAUAACUUCUCUCUUUAUAUAAAGCACUGAAGUGCUAAAUUAGAUGUCAUAUCAAGUUUCCUCAAUGACUGUUUUAGCACAGGAUAAAUUUGCAAGACUGGUUCUCCUUCUCAGCAGGGCAUCUCAGCCCAUUGUCAACUAAGGUGGCCAAGUUACUAAAGGCCUCAUCCUUCACCUUAGAAUGGAGAAUGUUAAUAAGCCAUUAAUUUCCAACUUCUACCCCUUUCUUACAAAGUUUUGUGACAAAGUUCUUUAUUUCACCUAAUUUAGCUCAAGAGAGGAGGCGACUUCUAUCUAAAAAUUCAGAAAUUAAAAAGAUAAGGAACACCCUGGGGUCAUUGUUUCUUCAGAUAAUUUUUCUGCCCCAGUAUUUUAUUUUUCCUGUCAUCCUGGGGCUCCAGUUACAUAUAUGUUGUUAGUUCUCUUGCUAUUUAUGGGUCUCUGAGGUAUUGUUCAUUUAUUUCCUCAAUCUUUGUUUUUGUCUCUAUUCUUCAAAUUGAAUAAUUUAUGUUUAUCUGUAAGAAAUGUUUACUGUCUGAUCUAAGAAUCAUAAUUAAAAUUGACCUUCAACUGAGUUUAUAAGUACCCUGAAAAAUAGCUGGAAUAAACAGCUGCAAUGAAACUUGCUUCAUUGGAUAAUCAAUCUAAAAUAAAGCUUUAAAGAAACCCUAAAAAAAAGAGAGAAGGAAUACAAUAAAAUAAUGAUUACCAUCUUGAAAUCACUAAGGUAAAGAGCCACCAUCCCUUACAAACGAAAUUUCCACCUUUGGUAACUCAAUCUCAUGUCGUUAAUUCUUUCUUUACCUCAUCCCACCUCCCAGCCUUCUGCCUCAUCACUUACUACCUGCUGAUCAGUUUAAUUACCCCCAAGCCGGUCGCAGCUCCCUGGGGCCGUUCGUGCCGGUCCUGCUGGCCAAGUCCUGCAGGGUGGUGGGUGCGCUGUGGCCCCAGGUGCAGGCUGCGAUGGCCGCCAUCUCGGAGUCGCCAGUGCUGGAUGGCAAGUGGUCCUUCCUGUGCCCGGAGUCACUGAGUGGCCAGCUGCAGGCCGACCCUUGGUUACCUCUGUGGGCCUCAGAGUCCCUGCUUCUGUUCUUUAUUCCCAUAUAGACAUCAGAGUACCUGACUUCUGUGACCGUGGUCACACUGAAGUGUUAGCACAAAGUCUUCUAAAGAGAGCAGUGAGGCUAGAAAAGGUUUCUCCUAGUUGAUAACAGCAGCGACUGCUGUGGGUGUCGGUAGUCAAGCACUGUGGGUGUCAGCCAAGAAUGUCGUCUCCCAGUUUGCUUCCCAGCGUGAGUGCUUCUGCUGCUGAAUUGGCUAUGUCGAAAAUUGAAAUCAAGUUAUCCGCUAUUGCAGAGGGCAAAAACAUGGCUUUCAAAUGCAGAGGCAAACCCCUGCUUGUGCGCCAUAGAACCAAGAAGGAGACUGACCAGGAAGCUGCAGUGGAAGUGUCCCAUUGAGGGACCCACGGCAGAACAAGUGAAGGAACCUGACCGGCUUGUCUUGACAGGUGUUUGCACUCAUCUUGGUUGUGUGCCCACUGAAAAUGCAGGAGAUUUUGGCAGUUAUUAUGGCCCUUGCCAUGGGUCACACUGAUGCACCUGGCAGGAUCAGCAAGGGGCCUGCACCUCUCAGCCAUGAAGUUCCCUCAUUAUGAGUUCACCAAUGAUGAUAUAGUGAUUGUUGGUUAGAGACCUGGACUUAAGUCAUAGGCUUCUUUCAGUAUUGGAACACGUCAUCUCAGAAGAGUUGCGGACGAGCCUUCUGUACUUCUAGUUGAUUUGAAAUAUUUAAGAAUUGUUAAUACAUUUACAGACUUGAAGUAAAUUGAGUUUAACGUUGAAUACUUUCAAGCAUUCACCUAAUAAGGCCACUGUUAAAUAUUGUUAUGCUCAAAGACUUCAAAGGUGCAGUGUCUUUGAUAGUCUGAUUAAAAUUACAGACUGGUGUACAAGAUACAUGUGAACUCUAAAAGAAAAGAAUUACCCCCAGAAAGACUAUGGAAAUCCCAAAAUGCACAGUCACUUACAGACUUCCCUAGCGUGAUUCCUGACAUCCCUAUGGGCUCACUGAAAUACCUAUUUUGAUGGUGUUUUAUGGAUUAGAAAGAGCCCUAUUCACGAAAGAGCUUCACUAGUAUGAACUCUCUAACUUAAAAAAAAAAAAAAAAAAAAAGCAAUGUGAAUUCCUUUGGGGAAAUGGGGAGGGGCAAUUCAAAAGAAAAAUGGUAUUAUUUUCCAAUACCAAGGAAAUUAAUCAGCAAACACAUUAUAAGGCAUUUGAAUAGUCAUCACACUGAAUUGUUUUGGAAAAGGCCCUGCUUUGGAAAAACCCAGGGCAAAAAAAAACAUCUUCAGUGCUGUAGCUUGGCACAGCAAGACAGCAGGAAGACAAAUAUCUUAUUAUUCCCUAUGGUGCCUUAAUACUUAGAAGAAAUCUGCAACUAUGUUUCUCCCUCCCAUGAGUCACCUUUAUUACUGUCUAACAUUAUGUUAGUGCUGUUUCCCAUGUCUACCUGUUAUAGUGAUAAGACACAGAUGUACUCCUCCAGUAUGUGGGAAACAAAUUAAUCUUGAAUCAGAAGGCUGAGCUUUUAGUCUCAGCUCUUGUACUAACUGUGCAGUCUUAAGCAAAUAUCUCAAAUUCUCCUGGCUUCGGGGUCUUCAUAUGAAAAAUAGGAAGCAGAAUACAGUGGUUCCAAUGAAAUGGAAGCCGACUUCCCCCUGGUCAUUAGGGGUUCUGCAGGCCAUAGAACAAAUUUAUAAUGAAGGGGCGAUGUAUCUUUACUAGCAGUAGUUGCUGCUACGUGGUGGGGAUGGUAUAGGGAAGGCUGUUUAGAACUCAGGGAUUCAGUGGAUCAUCUCUUAGCACUCCUCGGCCCAAGGGGCAAGUCUGGUCCCUGGAAAAGUGCAUUCACCUAUUAAAGACAAGAUUACGACACCUCAUAGCUUAAUGCGUGAAUUUUAGGUCUCUCCAAACCUGCUUUAGAAAAGCAGGCAAAGCAUAUUUAUUCUUGCAGCCUGGAGCAUGGAGAGGGGUACACAACAAAAUAAAACAGCAAACAAACAAACACAUUCAGCGUAAGUGCUGAUAAAAAAUAAGAAUAGAAAUGGGAGAUAGAAGGUAGCCUUGAGUACCAACUUAAGCCUUGUAACCUGCUACAGAAGCAGAGGUUGUACAGGAUAUGUUUUUUGUCAUUUAGUCAGGUUUCCUUCCCCCCGUAGCCCUUGCUUUAAAAGAAAAAUAAUGUUGAUGGCUAACAUUUUAGGUUCAGGUAGACAUGUGACCAACUUCUUAAUCACUCCGGAUCCACUUUCUACCCUUCUUCCUGCUCCAUUUCCUGGGAGGUGGCCCUGAAGGCACUGCAUCUCUGACUUCUGGUUUCUAGUCCAGUUCAGCCACAAGGGAGCACAGAGAAGAUGAGAGGAAGGAAGGGAGAAGAGUGCGGUCAGCGUAUCUGUGCUCUUUCUGUAGUCACUGUACUGCGAGGGGGCUGCAUCCUUCCACUAGAGGUCCUAGCCCCCGACACGCAGCUCUCUUCUCGUGGUUCCACUUCCUUGUUCUAAGGCUGGUUUUCUCUCCUUGCCCCUUCUAGCCAGUGUGUGAUGAUGGCACUACCAAGUCACUAAUGCCAGGGGAUUUUAUUUUCAUUUUUGAGUUCCUUAAACCCUGCUCACACUUCUGUAAAUAGUCCCUUUUUAUUAAACUCUCCUCAAAUUACCAAAUUUGUACAAAUAAAUUAUUUCUUUUCUGAUGGGGCCCUGACUAAUAUAGAGAAAAUUUUCACAGGAACUGCAAAGGGUAAUUGAAAGAUCAAAUGACAUUGGUUUAAAAUGUAUGUGAAAUUUGACGAAUGUAAAGAAGCGUAUGCAAAACAUACAGAAAAAUGUAUAAACAUAUAUGUAUAGUUUGAAGAAUAAUUCAGAAAGUGAACACCUACAUAACCAGUACUCUGAUCCAGAUGCAGAACUUUGCUGUGUCCCCAGAAGCACAACCUCCCCACCUACAGCUGAAGUCACUUUUAUUCUAUUUUUUAUGGCAAUUAUUUCAUUGCUUUUCUGCGUCUUACCAACGAAUGUAUAUUUGAUCAGCUUUGCAAGCAUCCUUUCAAUCUACAAUUUGACUUUGCCUGUUUAGAACUUAUAUGUAUGGAGAAUUCUAUAGACAUUAUUUUAGACUCAUCCACGUUGUUGUGUACAGCAUCCAUGUCUUGCAGCGUACUUUGUUCCCUUUCUCUGCUAUGUAGUGUUCUGUUGUAACAAUAUUCAACCCUUAAUUCAUCUAUUCUACUUUUUUGUUGUUGAAGUGUAGUCAAUUUACAAUGUUGUGUCAAUUUCUGGUGUACAGCAUAAUAGUUCAGUCAUACAUAUACCUACACAUAUUCAUUUUUAUAUUUUUUCAUUAUAGGUUACUAUAAGAUAUUGAAUAUAGUUUCCUGUGCUAUAUAAAAGAAACUUGUUGUUUAUCUAUUUUACAUACACUAGUUAAUAUUUGUAAAUCUCAAACUCUCAAUUUAUCCCUUCCCGCCCUCUUUCCCCCCUGGUAAUCAUAAGAUUGUUUACUAUGUCUGUGAGUCUGUUUCUGUUUUAUAGAUUAGUUCGUUAGUGUCUUCUUUUUUCUUUUCUUAGAUUCCACAUAUGAGUGAUAAUCGUAUGGUAUUUUUCUUUCUCUUUCUGGCUUACUUCACUUAGAACGACAAUCUCCAGGUCCAUCUAUGUUGCUGCAGAUAGCAUUAUUUCAUUCUUUUUUAUGGCUGAGUAGUAUUCCAUUGUAUAAAUAUACCACAUUUUCUUUAUCCAGUCAUCUGUUGAUGGACAUUUAGGUUGUUUCCAUGUCCUGGCUAUUGUAAAUAGUGCUUCUAUGAAGGGGGUUUAUGUAUCUUUUUGAAUUAAAGUUCCCUCUUGAUAUAUGCCCAGGAGUGGAAUUGCUGAAUCAUAUGGUAAAUCUAUUUUUAGGAUUUUGAGGAAUCUCCAUACUGUUUUCUAUAAUGGCUGCACCAAACCACAUUCCCACCAACGGUGUAGGAAGAUUCCCUUUUCUCCACACCCUUUCCAGCAUUUAUCAUUUGUGGACUUUUUAAUGAUGGCCAUUGUGACUGGUAGGAGGUGAUACUUCAUUGUAGUUUUGAUUUGCAUUGCUCUGAUAAUUAACGAUAUUGAGCAGUUUUUAUGUGCUUAUUGACUGUUUAUAUGUCUUGAUUGGAGGAUUGUUUGUUUAGGUCUUCAGCCAAUUUUUGGAUUGGGUUGUUUGUUUUUUAUUAUUAAGUUGUCUGAGCUGUUAUCUAUUCUACUUUUGAUGAAUGCUUGAAUUGUUUCCAGUUUCAGGCUAUUCAAAACAAUGCUACUAAGAAACUUCUUAUGCUUACCUCUAGUGCACAAUGCCGAAGUUUCUCUAGGACUGUGGUUCCUGAACUUACUGGUUUCAAGACUCCU